UAGUGCGCUACAUGCAAACUUCAGUGUUCAUGAAAUGCAUCCAUGAGGUUUUGUGAGGAGUAACGGAGAUCUGGCUGCCUAAAAUCCUCUGACAAUCUCCCUUUUCUAUGUCAGAGCUAUUGAAUGUAUUCAACAAAAAUCUCUCCAGCUUCAUCAAAAUCACAUUCUUACCUUUAACAUUCAUUCACUCACUUUUUCUCUCAGUGUUUUGGUAAUAAUCCCGUCUUUCCUUCUUUUGCUCUCUUAUCUAUCUGCAGGUCUCUAGCCUCGGGCCCCCUGGUGCUCAGAAACACAACUAACACUAGCAAAAAGUGACUUCAGCUGAUAGCCCUUUAGGGUGCGGCAAGGUUUGCCUCUAUGCCCCUUUCUGACGAGGGGCCAAAGGGUGUUUUUUUUGUAAAACUGGAAACAUGAGAAGGUGACUACUGUACAUAAAUACUGUACAUUACUAAGCCAAAAACCAGGGGACCCCAUCUCUGGUCACUAGUCACAAGGUGGUCCAGUAUUAAGAGCAGAUACCAGCACACAGCUUCACUAGUCUAAAACUAUACAUCAUAAAACACUUACUGACUACAUAGCAAUGGAUUCCUUGAAUAUGUUGUGUAUUUACAGUCAUAGGAAAAAAGGAUUAGAUCAACCUUGUUUUCUUCAAUUUAUUGUUCAUUUUAAU